GAAUGUGAGGUGAGCAGUUCAACAGUGAUCUCCAGUACUAAUCUGGCUGAUCUCAUCUGGCUAAAAGGGUGUCCUCUUCCUUCAUCACACCAUGUAUGUCUCUUUCAAAGCUGUGUGCUCUGUCAAAAAGGAUGACCUCUCCCCAGUAGCGGACAGUUUUCAGUCCAGUGAAUACAAGUAGCCAUGUUCCCUGCUAGAUCCUCUGCAGCUCUCGAUGUUUGUAAGAAACAGCCCCGAACCUUC
rnacentral:snRNA from 1 species